CUCGGUCCGAACUGGAAGUCUGGAGCGACCAGCCUGCCAAAAAACACACACAGCAAAGUCACAAUGCUCCUAUGCUAGAUGCACCUAAGAUGGCGGCUGAAACAGCGAUACUUGACCAGAGCCUGCACUCACUCGAAAGGCGGCACCAAAACACCAUGGAAUAGACGAAACCUCAACUGCUUUUGGGAACAGUUCUGGGAGCGAUAUCAGGCAGCCCAGCACGCACAAUGCACUCCAGAGACCAAGGGUAAGCAGAGCCGCAGGCAGAAGGAGGUGAAGAGAAUGUCCUCGGGCACAGCGACAAAAUCCCCACUUACCUCCAAGCCACAGAGCCCACCCUGGUUGAAGGUCAGACCGGGGAACACCCGACAGCCUCAACCACACAAACGGAGGCCCAAGCUAUGCACACACAAGCAAACCACCAGGCCCCCCGUUACCCCUACUAGGGGAAGAAACUUGGACUAUAGCAAGCACCGAGUUAGUGGUCAACGGAUGCCAGACCUCAUACAGACCUGGCGCAAAAAGGUCACUCUCCUGAACACCCUCACACCAGCAGCUCCCAGAGGACCUUCAGCGGGUACCGACAGUAUUCCAGCUGAGGGCAUCGGCUAACAGGGGCACUACCACAAGCGCCCAACUGCAGUACUGCAGCCGGACAACCUAGAGGUCCAGCAUUAAUCGGAUUUUAGAACAGUAGUUUAGACAAUAUUCUACUUUGAGUUAACAAUAUUUUAGCACUGUCUAGUUAAUAAUAAUAAUGUACUAUGGCUAACACACUGCAGCUCCAGACUACAGUAACUCCCUUCGAUGCAAAUCUAGUAGUAUAAAAUCGUAUCUUUACUUUGACAUAUACAUCUCCGUUCUAGCUUGACAUUAUUAAAAAAUUGUGCGUGAUCAUUCGAUUACCCCACUGUUAUACAUGUUGAUCUGCCUGUGGACUGCCGUUGGGGUACCUCAGGCCUGUUGUAAACUCUAUAUGCACUGCAAAAAUACAAAAUAAAAAAAAAAACAGCAAAAGUGGGUGGGGGGGAGAAACAAUGAGGCAGGACAAGGUAGUGGAUUGAGAGACCCUAAAUAUGAGCAAGACGUUGCAUUCCGAGAGAAAGAGAGGAAGCUAAAAUAAGGAAACCCUAAAUGGUAAAUUCAAGAAUGUGAAGGUCAAGAUCAGCGAGAUUAAUUGACUGAGUAGCACUUUUUAAUGAAGUUUAAUAUUACAAGGAAAGAAAGAAUGUAUCUAAAGAAGUCUUAAAUACAUCACAAAGGAGAACAUAGUUGUCAUCAUAAAAAUGCUGUUUGCAUGUCUGUUGCACAGGGCAAUGUUGUAUAAUGUCUUGUAGCAAAUAUUAGAUAUAGUUGAUAUAAG